UACAGCUGUACAGUCAAACUGUGCAUCAAUCAAUGGUACAACGAGAAGAACAGAACAAUUCAAAUUAUUUUGGGCACAUUAAUGUAAUUAUGUGCCUUGCAUCAAAACAAGUCACAGCAUACAUGCCUCGGCUCUGCUGAUGUGGGUGUCCAAUGUAAGGAUUGAGAGCGCAGCAAUUAGCAUGGAAAUGGAAAAUAAAAAUCCUACAGCAGGGUACGCAUUAAUACUUUAUAAAUAGAAUUGUACUUUUGAAAACUUUUAUGCGUGUACUACCCACUUUCCUCCCUCUGGCUCCACAAAGAUGCUGAACGAACUGUCAGACAUCCAAAUAUGCCCGAUUAUUUUAACUUUUCACAUCCAACAUUUUACCUGCAGGGUUUAUGGGACUGAAAGGCAGAGUAUUAGGAGAUAUCAAGACAAAUUUCUGACUAAUCUUCAAACGUACUUUUCAUCAACACAUUUUCAGGAAAGAUUCUUGCUAAAGGCAAGCAAAAAGCUUGAGAUGCAACACCAAUUCAUUUCAGCAGGUAUAGAAGACAGGUAUUCUGAAUAAUGAACUUUAUGGAUGCAAAGGAGCACAUCUAAAAUAUGGAUUCCAAGAAUUAGUCUCCUGCCAAUACUGCAAACAUCAGAAUGGAGAAAUGCAGCUCACACUGGGCGGUACAGUCCUGGGGCAACCAUAUGAUGUCCUAUGCAUGUGUCCUUUUCAUCAAACUUGUGCUUGUACACAGUACUCACUGGGCAUCGAACAGGUAACUGUACUGCUCAGCAUGAGCUGCGUCUAUUUGCAGAAUAGGCCAAAGACCAAGGCUAGACUUACACUCCAAUUGUUCAAAGGGUGUCCAGUUAAAAUUAAAGUGCUGCAAUAUUGCUUAAAACCACCACAUUAGAGUUUAAAGUCUCUUAUUCCUAAACCACUAACAACCUAGAACUGUACUUACACAUACUGCAUAUAUAUCUAAGGUUUUAACAAAUUACCAAUAUGGUAA